CCUACGGGAGGCAGCAGUGGGGAAUAUUGCACAAUGGGGGAAACCCUGAUGCAGCAACGCCGCGUGAGUGAUGACGGCCUUCGGGUUGUAUAGCUCUGUCUUCUGGGACGAUAAUGACGGUACCUGAGGCGGUAGCCACGGCUACCUACGUGCCAGCAGCCGCGGGAAUACGUCGGUGGCGAGCGUUGAUCGGAUUUACUGGGCGUAAAGGGAGCGUAGGCGGACUUUUAAGUGAGAUGUGAAAUACUCGGGCUCAACUUGAGUGCUGCAUUUCACACUGGAAGUCUAGAGUGCAGGAGAGGUAGAUGGAAUUCCUGGUGUAGCGGUGAAAUGCGUAGAGAUUAGGAAGAACACCAGUGGCGAAGGCGGUUCACUGGACUGUAACUGACGCUGAGGCUCGAAAGCGUGGGGAGCAAACAGGAUUAGAUACCCGUGUAGUC
rnacentral:rRNA from 1 species